AGUGAACGCUGGCGGUAGGCCUAACACAUGCAAGUCGAACGGCAGCACAGUAAGAGCUUGCUCUUACGGGUGGCGCGUGGCGGACGGGUGAGGAAUACAUCGGAAUCUACUUUUUCGUGGGGGAUAACGUAGGGAAACUUACGCUAAUACCGCAUACGACCUACGGGUGAAAGCAGGGGAUCUUCGGACCUUGCGCGAUUGAAUGAGCCGAUGUCGGAUUAGCUAGUUGGCGGGGUAAAGGCCCACCAAGGCGACGAUCCGUAGCUGGUCUGAGAGGAUGAUCAGCCACACUGGAACUGAGACACGGUCCAGACUCCUACGGGAGGCAGCAGUGGGGAAUAUUCGACAAUGGGCGCAAGCCUGAUCCAGCCAUACCGCGUGGGUGAAGAAGGCCUUCGGGUUGUAAAGCCCUUUUGUUGGGAAAGAAAAGCAGCAGGUUAAUACCCCGCUGUUCUGACGGUACCCAAAGAAUAAGCACCGGCUAACUUCGUG
rnacentral:rRNA from 1 species